UUCUUGGUCAUUUAGAGGAAGUAAAAGUCGUAACAAGGUUUCCGUAGGUGAACCUGCGGAAGGAUCAUUAAAGAAAUUUAAUAAUUUUGAAAAUGGAUUUUUUUGUUUUGGCAAGAGCAUGAGAGCUUUUACUGGGCAAGAAGACAAGAGAUGGAGAGUCCAGCCGGGCCUGCGCUUAAGUGCGCGGUCUUGCUAGGCUUGUAAGUUUCUUUCUUGCUAUUCCAAACGGUGAGAGAUUUCUGUGCUUUUGUUAUAGGACAAUUAAAACCGUUUCAAUACAACACACUGUGGAGUUUUCAUAUCUUUGCAACUUUUUCUUUGGGCAUUCGAGCAAUCGGGGCCCAGAGGUAACAAACACAAACAAUUUUAUCUAUUCAUUAAAUUUUUGUCAAAAACAAGAAUUUUCGUAACUGGAAAUUUUAAAAUAUUAAAAACUUUCAACAACGGAUCUCUUGGUUCUCGCAUCGAUGAAGAACGCAGCGAAAUGCGAUACGUAAUGUGAAUUGCAGAAUUCCGUGAGUCAUCGAAUCUUUGAACGCACAUUGCGCCCCUUGGUAUUCCAGGGGGCAUGCCUGUUUGAGCGUCAUUUCCUUCUCAAACAUUCUGUUUGGUAGUGAGUGAUACUCUUUGGAGUUAACUUGAAAUUGCUGGCCUUUUCAUUGGAUGUUUUUUUUCCAAAGAGAGGUUUCUCUGCGUGCUUGAGGUAUAAUGCAAGUACGGUCGUUUUAGGUUUUACCAACUGCGGCUAAUCUUUUUUUAUACUGAGCGUAUUGGAACGUUAUCGAUAAGAAGAGAGCGUCUAGGCGAACAAUGUUCUUAAAGUUUGACCUCAAAUCAGGUAGGAGUACCCGCUGAACUUAAGCAUAUCAAUAAGCGGAGGAA
rnacentral:rRNA from 1 species